rnacentral:rRNA from 1 species
UACGUAGGGAGCAAGCGUUGUCCGGAUUCACUGGGUUUAAAGGGUGCGUAGGUGGGCAAGCAAGUCAGUGGUGAAAUCUCCGGGCUUAACCCGGAAACUGCCAUUGAUACUAUUUGUCUUGAAUACUGUGGAGGUCAGCGGAAUAUGUCAUGUAGCGGUGAAAUGCUUAGAUAUGACAUAGAACACCAAUUGCGAAGGCAGCUGGCUACACAAAUAUUGACACUGAGGCACGAAAGCGUGGGGAUCAAACAGG